UUUACCUACGGGGGGCAGCAGUGGGGGAUAUUGCACAAUGGGGGAAACCCUGAUGCAGCGACGCCGCGUGGGCGAAGAAGUAUUUCGGUAUGUAAAGCCCUAUCAGCAGGGAAGAAGAAAUGACGGUACCUGAGUAAGAAGCACCGGCUAAAUACGUGCCAGCAGCCGCGGUAAUACGUAUGGUGCAAGCGUUAUCCGGAUUUACUGGGUGUAAAGGGAGCGCAGGCGGCACGGCAAGCCUGAUGUGAAAGCCCGCGGCCCAACCGCGGGACUGCAUUUGGAACUGUGCUGCUAGAGUGUCGGAG
rnacentral:rRNA from 1 species